UGGGGAAUAUUGCACAAUGGGGGAAACCCUGAUGCAGCGACGCCGCGUGAGUGAAGAAGUAAUUCGUUAUGUAAAGCUCUAUCAGCAGGGAAGAGAAUGACGGUACCUGAGUAAGAAGCCCCGGCUAACUACGUGCCAGCAGCCGCGGUAAUACGUAGGGGGCAAGCGUUAUCCGGAUUUACUGGGUGUAAAGGGAGCGUAGACGGCUUGGCAAGUCUGAAGUGAAAGCCCGCGGCUCAACCGCGGAACUGCUUUGGAAACUUUUAAGCUGGAGUAUCGGAGAGGUAAGCGGAAUUCCUAGUGUAGCGGUGAAAUGCGUAGAUAUUAGGAGGAACACCAGUGGCGAAGGCGGCUUACUGGACUGUAACUGACGUUGAGGCUCGAAAGCGUGGGGAGCAAACAGG
rnacentral:rRNA from 1 species